rnacentral:rRNA from 1 species
GAUGAACGCUGGCGGCGUGCCUAAUACAUGCAAGUCGAGCGAACAGAUGAGAAGCUUGCUUCUCUGAUGUUAGCGGCGGACGGGUGAGUAACACGUGGGUAACCUACCUAUAAGACUGGGAUAACUCCGGGAAACCGGGGCUAAUACCGGAUAAUAUUUUGAACCGCAUGGUUCAAUAGUGAAAGACGGUUUCGGCUGUCACUUAUAGAUGGACCCGCGCCGUAUUAGCUAGUUGGUAAGGUAACGGCUUACCAAGGCGACGAUACGUAGCCGACCUGAGAGGGUGAUCGGCAACACGGGAACUGAGACACGGUCCAGACCCCUACGGGAGGCAGCAGUAGGGAAUCUUCCGCAAUGGGCGAAAGCCUGACGGAGCAACGCCGCGUGAGUGAUGAAGGUCUUCGGAUCGUAAAACUCUGUUGUUAGGGAAGAACAAAUUUGUUAGUAACUGAACAAGUCUUGACGGUACCUAACCAGAAAGCCACGGCUAACUACGUGCCAGCAGCCGCCGUAA